GGAAGUUUAAAACUUAGUGGCGGACGGGUGAGUAACGCGUGGGUAACCUGCCUCAUACAGGGGGAUAACAGUUAGAAAUGACUGCUAACACCGCAUAAUAUAGCGAAACCGCAUGAUUUUGCUAUCAAAUAUUUAUAGGUAUGAGAUGGGCCCGCGUCUGAUUAGCUAGUUGGUGGGUAAAGCCUACCAAGGCGACGAUCAGUAGCCGGCUUGAGAGAGUGACCGGCCACAUUGGGACUGAGACACGGCCCAAACUCCUACGGGAGGCAGCAGUGGGGAAUAUUGGACAAUGGGGGAAACCCUGAUCCAGCGAACCGCCGCGUGAGUGAAGAAGUAUUUCGGUAUGUAAAGCUCUAUCAGCAGGGAAGAUAAUGACAGUACCUGACUAAGAAGCCCCGGCUAACUACGUGCCAGCCGCAGC
rnacentral:rRNA from 1 species